UAAUUAUCCACAACAGGCUGAUCCACAACCAGUAGCUCAAUGCAAUUUAUUGAAUCCUGGCAAGCUCCCCUCUGCCUUCCCCUGCUAAAUCCAGAUGGGUCACCAAAAAAGCUUUUUAAAGCCCUGAAGACCCCCAAUGGAGUGGACGGAGAAACACGACGGAAUUCUCUGCAGAGAAAUACUCGUCACAGAGCCGUUCAUAUUCAAGAAAGGGAGUGUUGACAAGGAAAAGGUGCACACGCAGUGGGUAUGCAGGGUCCCCGUUCACACACAUCCGCUGGCCACCUGGGGAAACUGCGUGCUCUUCCAGAACAGGUGAACUUGUCAGGAAUCCCAAGAACAUCUGCCAGCACUUUCUGCCAUCUGCCACGCGUUUUCUUACGCGAAACUCGGCAAGACACUCAUCGUCCUCCAUGUCAUCCAGAUCGAAACGCGAGUACAUUUUGCAUGGUAAAUCUAAGUUGAUAGAUUUGUUUGCGUAAUACAACAAUAAAAUCCCCUCUUCUGAAACUAAGAGAUCAUCGAAAGCAUAAAGCAACUCCUCUCUGGCCCUUUUAAAUGACAUUUUGAAUUUACAGCAGAAUUACAGGGUAAUAACAUUAUUGUGUUUAUAUUCCGCCACCCACUGUCAAUUUUGAUGCGUUGCUAUAGUGACCGGUCAGCUGUUCGAAGCACCUUGCUUAGUGACUGCUAUGGAUUUGACGGCUACGGUGACAGAUCUAUUUCCGGUCACCGUAGCCAUCCCAAAAUCCAUUGUUGCUUACAUUACAUUACAUUACAUUACAUUACAUUACAGGCAUUUAGCAGACGCUCUUAUCCAGAGCGACGUACAACAAGUGCAUCAGUUCAAGGUGCAGAGGUGCAAAAAAAGCACUCUAGAGUGAAGUAAAGAUCGUAGUGCCAGAAGUGACCACAUAGAUCAGGACUCCAACCCUGUAGGGUAACCUGUUCAGCAAACAAACAAACAAUCCUGCCAAGUACAAACUAGCACUGAAAUCACAUUUGCCUAAUCAGAAUCAGACAAAAACAAUCCUGCCAAAUAAAAACUAACGUGAUCGCAUUAGCCUAACUAGGUACAUUGAGCUAAACUGGAGGCUAGGGAGGGGUGAGGAGUGGUGCAGCCUGAAGAGAUGAGUCUUUAGUCUGCGUUUGAAGGUAGUCUGAUUCUCUGCUGUUCUGACCGCUACGGGAAGGUCAUUCCACCAGCGAGGGGCCAGGACAGACAGCAGACGCGAGCGGGAAGUACAGACACGAAGAGGGGGAGGUGCCAAGCGUCCAGAGGUGGCAGAACGAAGAGGUCUGGCUGGUGUGUAGGGUCUGAUGAUCCUCUGGAUGUAUCCUGGUGCUGACCCCUUAGCUGCCUGGUAUGCAAGCACCAAAGUCUUAAAUUUUAUGUGAGCCAUAACAGGCAGCCAGUGGAGGUCAGUGAGCAGGGGGGUGACAUGGGAAUGUCUGGGGAGGUUGUAGACCAGACGCGCUGCAGCAUUCUGGAUGAGCUGCAGGGGUCUGAUGGCGGAUGCUGGCAGACCAGCCAGCAGCGAGUUGCAGUAGUCCAGGGGGGACAGGACCAUCGCUUGAACCAGGUGCUGGGUUGCGUAGGUGGCGAGGAAGGGGCGGAUUCUCCGGAUGUUGUACAGGAAGAACCUGCACGUUCGACUCACCGCUGCAAUGUUCUGGGAGAGGGACAGUCUGUUGUCCAUCACCACUCUGAGGUUUUUUGCAGUGGGUGAUGAUGACACCACGGUGUCCCCUAGGGAGAUAGAAAGGAAAAAGAGGUUAGAGGAUGGAGCAGGGAUGAAGAUCAUCUCUGUCUUACCUGGGUUCAGCUUAAGAUGAUGGUUAUCCAUCCAGCUCUGGAUGUCCCUCAGGCAAGCAGAGAUGCGAGCGGAGACCUGUGUGUCAGAGGGGGGGAAGGAGAGAAAGAGUUGGGUGUCAUCGGCAUAACAAUGAUAAGACAAACCAUGGGCAGAGAUUACAGGACCAAGAGAUUGGGUGUACAGGGAGAAUAGGAGGGGACCAAGGACUGAGCCCUGGGGAACUCCUGUGGCAAGGGGGCGAGGUGCCGAUACUGCACCAGCCCAGGCGACUUGGAAGGAGCGACCGGAGAGGUAGGACUCGAUCCAGUCUAGUGCUGUGCCACAGAUCCCCAUAGCUGCCAGGGAGGACAGGAGGAUGGGGUGGUCGUCUGUGUCGAAGGCAGCAGAAAGGUCUAGGAGGAUCAGGACAGACGAAUGGGAGGCUGCUUGUGCGGUGUGAAGUGACUCACUGACCGAGAGGAGUGCUCUGUCGAGUGGCCAGAUCUGAAGCCGGACUGGUGGGGGUCUAGGAGGUUGUUCAGCAAAAGAAAAGAGGAGAGUUGGUUAGAAGCAGCUCAUUCAAUUGUUUUGGAUAAAAAAGGGAGAAGGGAAACAGGACAGUAGUUCUGGAUGACGGAGGGAUCCAGAGUGCGCUUUUUCAGCAGUGGGGUGAUGUGGACCAGCUUGAAGGAAGAGGGGAAUGAGAGGCAUCAAUUGUAAAGCGCUUUGGAUAAAGCGCAAUUGUAAAGCGCAGGAUUGAUAGUGCUGCACAAGCAAUCAACAUUUUGUCUAUUGUGCAAAGACUGUUAUCGUUCAUCCGUUUGACCAUACUGACUGGCAGCGCAGGGUGUUCCGCAGAAUUCUGAAUGACUUCAGUUUUCCUAUGGGCCUUUCCACAUGGAUUCUCACUCGUGAUAUUUUUCUGUGUCACCUCUAAUCCUGUCAGUUGUUUUCUUGCCUGUGAAGAUGCUGAUGGUACAUGGAGACGGAUACAUUUGGUGGCAAAGUAUUCAGGAAAAUUGAAGCCCCUAUCAGCCAUUACAUGGUCUCCUUGUUCAAGAAGGUCAAUCAACCCGGAAUUCUUUAUUAUAACCUUGUCACUAGCACGACCACCCCAGACUCUUGAUAAAAAUGUAAUAGCUCCUGUUGGACUAAUGCCAACAAGGAACUUCACAGUAUUAUGUGACUUGUAGUGGGAGUAGGUGAUUGCUCGUGUUUGCAAACUAGUUGGCCUCUCAAUGAACACUUCAGUACAGUCUAUUAUACAUCUGACAUGUUGGUAACCUGUAGUCUUGAAUAGGGUGGGGGGAUUUCUUCUGAUAUCUUUUCUGGAUGGCCACCGGACAAGGCAUUGCAACUCUUUACCCAUCACCUCGAGCCAUUCAUGGAAGAUGUUCGAGACAGUUCCACAACUCACUCUGAAGCGAAAAGCUAGGUCUUGAUGAGUUAAGCUCAGACGAAGCUUCAACAGGACCACAAGAAACUGCUCGGGAAGGGUAAGUAUGGUUGAUGAUGCAUUCCAUGUUGUUGUCAGGGAAGUGAGGAGGGUGAAAAACACAGAGGCAGAUGGUAGACCAGUGCAAAAAUGAGUGUGCUUGUCAUCAUUUAAAAUAAAAUUGGACAGACUGGCAAACAUAUGAUCUUAUAGGCGUUUUUCUUGAGAUUCCAGUUUCUUCUCCAGUAAAGCCACUUUUCUCUACAAUUCACUGUUUUCAUUUUGUAGCUGGUCAAUGUCUGCCAUUGAGAGAUCUUUACCCACAGCAGUGCAUCCUUCUUCAGGGUCAGUAUGGGUGACCUCUAUGGAAGAUGGAUAUACAAUUUUUUUCUCAGCAAGACAGCCAGGUUCAGCACAAAGAGUGAGCGAGGAGGAUAGAGAAGGAAAGAGAGCAUGAUGGAGUCGGCACAGAGAGAGAAAGAGAGAGAGCAAGAACCAGUGAGUGUCAUCAUGAGCAAGAGGAAGGGUGGCGGUGACAUUCGUCAGUUUUUUGGGCAGCCUCAGAAAAGAAGAAAAGUAAGUUGAGAGCAGUGAGAAAAUGAGUACCAGUCAGAUGAUAGAAGUAUACAGUUGUACAAGAGAUGAUGUUUCUUGAUAUAAUAAUCAUUGCCAUUCAGAUCAGAAAUGGUUAGUAAUCCAUUCCUGAACAUCAUGGCAGGAAACACCACUAGUUUACUGAUAAUAUUUCUUUCAUGUUCACUCUGGUGCGUUCAGAGUAAAGAGAGAGAGGGAGAGAGAGCAUGAUGAUGCCGACUGCACAGGGAGAGCAGGUGACAUGGAGAUAAUACACUCAAGCAGAGAGAGUGAGUUUGCAGGCGAGAGCAGACAGGCAGGGGAAGAUGAAGGUGCAGGAGAGGAAGGGGAGGAGUUUGGACCUUGCCCAACUCAGCCAAAUGUGAACGUCAUACCUAGUCAAACCCUAUUAAAUAGGACUCUCUACUUUCAGGAGAAAUGGUUUAAAGAUUAUACUUGGCUCCAUUACAGCCCCUCCUUAAAGGGGGUCCUCUGUUUCUAUUGUGCUAAAUACUUUGCAACACAAAAGUCUAAGCUUGUGUCAAAAGCAGAUUCAGUUUUUGUCAAGACUGGCUUUCAAAACUGGAAGAAGGCACUGGAGAAAUUUAGUGCGCAUAAAGACAUGCAGUGUCACAAAUUAGCUGUGAUGACUCGGAUUCAGGAGCCCAAGCCUGUUAAUAUGCAACUUUCACGUGAGCUUGAAAGACAGCAGCAACAAGCGAGGAGAAAUCUUAUGAAGAUUGUCGGGGCUGUGAAGUACUUGGCGUGGCAAGGUCUGGCUUUUCGAGGUGUUGAUAAGGAGAGUGGGAAUUUCAACCAGCUUCUGAAGUACAAGGCAGAGGGCGAUGCAUAGCUGACCAACUGGCUGAAAGGUCACGUUGAUUUCACCAGUCCCCAAAUGCAAAAUGAAAUUUUGAAAUUUUGGGCAAUACAAAUGUCAAAGAAAUUGUGUCAGAAAUAACAUCAACGCUAGUGGUCCAGUUUGCAUUUACCAUUGAUGGCACCCAGGAUAUAUCAGGAGUUGAGCAGGAGUCCAUAUGUUUGUGCUUUGUAGAUGCAGAUCUACAACCAAAGGAAGAAUUCCUGGGACUCUACGAAGUAUCAUCAACGACAGAGCAAAAUAUAGCCAAGAUGGCAUGUGAUGUGAUGAACAUAGGACAAGAGGAGAGGAGGAGAGUUGACUGGAGAGGAGAUGAGAAAACAGCAGAGGAGAGGAGAAGACAUGACUGGAGAGGAGAAUAUAGGACGAGAGGAGGAGAGAGGGCUGGAGAGGAGAAGAUAGGAUGAGAGGAGAAAAUGAGAGUAGAGCAGAGCAAACGCCCCUACUGCCCACCCAAGUUUAAUUGUAAAUAUGUAAAUAAAAACAACAAUUUGCUAAACCUUGGCCACAAUAUCUGGACUUGUCUUCAUAUAACAAUGCAUACAUUUCUGUUUAUAUGAUUAUGGUUAUGCUUGUACUUUAUUAAUCCCUAAUCUCUGCCAUUACAUACAAUGAAACAAGAAAAAGUAAAAAAGAAAAAACAGCAAUGUAAUACAAUACACUAUUAGACAAUAUUGCAAAAAUAAAAAGUUCAUCCCAUGUGUUAGUGAAUUUUUUAAUACUUUAGAAUGGCAGGAAAUUAGUUUUCAAAUUUUGAAUUUUUUCUAGGAGGGGGGACCCCCAGACCCCCCGCCAGAUUUGGUCCCUCCCAAUGUUGACUCCAUGGCUACGGCCUUGCUUCAUAGAAUGUAAUAGUGGCAGUAAAAAUGACUUUAGUAGUUCCAUAUUUAGAAAUUGAGCUGUUGCCUGUUGGUAACUUUAGGUGAUGUAGGUGAAAUGGGCAUUUUGUCAUCUACAUAUUAUUUUAUAUUAUUAAGGAGGGCAAAAUAUUUUCAAGUAGUGAUACUGGCCAGUGUUCAGGCAACAUUACAGUGUGUUGUUGUUUUUAGAUUUUUUUUUUUUUGCUGAGCUAUGAAGUGCUGCUUCAGUUUGUUUGUGCCCCCCAAAACUGCGCCCCCACUGUAGUAAUGAUGAAACAAAAUUAUUUUCCUUCCUGGGUUAAAUUACUUGAUUUAGUGUCAUUGACAAUCUGUUAUAACUUUACAUCUGUUUUUUUCUUUAUAGACACAGACUCUGCAACCAAUUGACAAGUUUUUUCUCUUCAUGAACCACUUAGCUCUUGGUUUGAAGCAGAAGGAUCUGGCCCACAGAUUUCAAAUACACCGGUCAACCGCGAGUCGCAUUACUGCAACAUGGGCCAACUACCUCUUCACCAUACUUGGGUCAGUGAAAAUCUGGUUGUCUGAGGAAGAGGUCAAGGCUAAAUUGCCAGAGGUGUUCAAGGAGUAUGCAGACACACACGUUGUGCUAGACUGCACAGAACUGCGCUGCCAAACACCAUCAUCUCUGCUCCUUCAAAGUGAAGUAUACUCCAUCUACAAAUCCCAAGGUAUCUUCAAAGGGAUGACUGGCAUGGCACCACAUGGAGCAGUCACCCUGUAUUUCAGCCCUGUAUGCUGGUUGUCUGUCCUGGCCCCACGAUGGUGGAAUGACCUCCCCGUGGAAGUCAGAACAGCUGAGACACUGACCCACUUCAAACAACAACUUAAGACUCACCUCUUCAGGCUGCACCUCUCCCCAUCCCUCCCUACCUCCCUGUGAUCUCUAAAUUAACUGUAAGCUUAGGGUUGUAACUAGGUAGCUGUUUCAUAGGUGACUUAGUUAAUGCACUCGUCUUAUCUACUGCUUGUAUUUUUGCGUAGACUGCAUUGUUGCUGUUCUCAUUUGUGUUAGUAUUAAUCUGUUUAUCCUUCAGGGUCCAAGUUGAACUAUGCGGUUGUUCCCUGCACUUGGAACGGUACUUCUCUCUAGGGUUUUCGACACACUUGUACCUGGUUAUGGUUAUACACAUUGUUGUACGUCGCUCUGGAUAAGAGCGUCUGCCAAAUGCCUGUAAUGUAAUGUAUGGUUCUGUCAGCGACAAGCAGAUUCUGAAAGAGUCUGGAAUUGUUCCUUUGCUGAAGCCGGGAAUGGCAAUAAUGGUGGACAAAGGUUUUCUUGUAAAUGACUGUGUGCCUUGUAAAGUCUACAGACCACCUUUCCUGUACAAGAGAACACAGAUGCCAGCAUUAGAUGUGAGGGAGACCAAAGCAAUUGCAAGGCUGAGAGUCCACGUUGAGCAACUGAUUCGCAGGUUGAAGAAGCACAAGCUGUUUCAUAGAGUUAUCCCCCUCUCCACCAUUGGGAACUUCAACCAGCUGCACACAGUUACAUGUCUCCUCCUCAACUACGAAAGUGGACCACUGGUCAAAGCUUCGGCAAAAUAGUCCUGAAAAUGCACGCACACACACACAGCCAUGCACAUACACACAAUCCAAUCAGUUUUUCUUAUCGAAACGUCACAGUGACAUUAGUAUUUUUAAUAAUGAUGCUGGAAACUAAUUUUCAAUUGUGUUCAUUUUCAAGUGAAAAUGCGUAGGUGGUAAAAAAAUAAAUAAAUAAAUGAAACAACCUGAAAACUU